rnacentral:rRNA from 1 species
GGGCCCGCACAAGCAGUGGAGUAUGUGGUUUAAUUCGAAGCAACGCGAAGAACCUUACCAGGGCUUGACAUACACAGUAAUACAUCAGAGAUGAUGUAGCUCUUCGGAGACUGUGAACAGGUGGUGCAUGGUUGUCGUCAGCUCGUGUCGUGAGAUGUUGGGUUAAGUCCCGCAACGAGCGCAACCCCUGUUGUUAGUUGCCAUCAUUAAGUUGGGCACUCUAGCGAGACUGCCGGUGAUAAAUCGGAGGAAGGUGGGGACGACGUCAAAUCAUCAUGCCCCUUAUGUCCUGGGCUACACACGUACUACAAUGGCUAAAACAGAGGGAAGCAAGACCGCAAGGUGGAGCGAAACCCAAAAUAUAGUCCCAGUUCAGAUUGUGGGCUGAAACCCGCCCACAUGAAGAUGGAAUUGCUAGUAAUGGCAGGUCAGCAUACUGCCGUGAAUACGUUCCCGGGCCUU